rnacentral:rRNA from 1 species
UACGUAGGGUGCGAGCGUUGUCCGGAAUUACUGGGCGUAAAGAGCUCGUAGGUGGUUUGUCGCGUUGUUCGUGAAAACUCACAGCUUAACUGUGGGCGUGCGGGCGAUACGGGCAGACUGGAGUACUGCAGGGGAGACUGGAAUUCCUGGUGUAGCGGUGAAAUGCGCAGAUAUCAGGAGGAACACCGAUGGCGAAGGCAGGUCACUGGGCCGCAACUGACGCUGAGGAGCGAAAGCAUGGGGAGCGAACAGG